GAUGAACGCUAACGGCGUGGAUAAGGCAUGCAAGUCGACCGAGCACUCAACUUGUUGAGUGCCCGGGGCAAAUGGGUUAGUAACACGUGGGCAAUGAACCCUAAAGACGGGCAUAACCUGCUGAAAGGCGGGCUAAUUCCCGGAGUCCCCGCAGAUAAAUUAUGUACGGGGUAAAGGUCGUCGAAAGACUCCCGCUUUAGGAUCAGCCCGCGGUUUAUCAGCUUGUUGGUGGGGUAAUGGCUCACCAAGGCUAUGACGGAUAGGGGACAUGAGAGUGUGUUCCCCAACAAGGGCACUGCGACACGGGCCCUACUCCUACGGGAGGCAGCAGUCGAGAAUAUUCGACAAUGGGCGAAAGCCUGAUCGAGCGACGCCGUGUGCUUGAAGAAACCCUUCGGGGUGUAAAAAGCUUUUCUCCGUGAAUAACCCUUCGGGGUGAAGGUAGCGGAGGAAUAAGGAGGUGCUAAUCACGUGCCAGCAGCCGCGGUAAUACGUGAUCUCCAGGCGUUAUCCGGAUUUAUUGGGCGUAAAGCGUUCGUAGGCGCCCCAUCAGGUUUUCUGUUAAAUAUCUAGGGCUUAACCUUAGAGGUGCAGAAAAAACCGGUGGGGUAGAGGGCGUUAGAGGCUGGAGGAACGGUCGGUGUAGGGGUGAAAUCCGUUGAUAUCGACCGGAACACCAAAAGCGAAGGCAUCCAGCUGGAGCGACCCUGACGCUGAGGAACGAAAGCGUGGGGAGCAAAAAGGAUUAGAUACCCUUGUAGUCCACGCUGUAAACGAUGGACACUAGCUGUUUGAAGUGUCGACCCUUCAGGUGGCGAAGCUAACGCGUUAAGUGUCCCGCCUGGGAAGACGGCCGCAAGGCU
rnacentral:rRNA from 1 species